rnacentral:tRNA from 1 species
GGCCUAUUAGCUCAAUUGGUUAGAGCACCGUGCUAAUAACGCGAAAGUUGCAGGUUCAUACCUGCAUGGGCCA